UGGGGGAUAGCACAACUGGUUAGUGCACCUGACUCUGACUCAGGCUAUGGGGGUUCAAGUCCCUCUCCCCUUGCCA
rnacentral:tRNA from 1 species